UACGUAGGGUGCAAGCGUUAAUCGGAAUUACUGGGCGUAAAGCGUGCGCAGGCGGCUUUGCAAGACAGAUGUGAAAUCCCCGGGCUCAACCUGGGAACUGCAUUUGUGACUGCAUAGCUGGAGUGCGGCAGAGGGGGAUGGAAUUCCGCGUGUAGCAGUGAAAUGCGUAGAGAUCCGGAGGAAUACCAGUGGCGCAGGCGGCGCUCUGGGUCACACCUGACACUGAGAUACGAAGGCAUGGGGAGCGAACGGG
rnacentral:rRNA from 1 species